AUUGAACGCUGGCGGCAGCCCUUACACAUGCAAGUCGAACGGUAACUGGUUAAGCUGACGAGUGGCGAACGGGUGAGUAAUGUAUCGGAACGUGCCCAGUCGUGGGGGAUAACUGCUCGAAAGAGCAGCUAAUACCGCAUACGACAAGAGGGUGAAAGCGGGGGAUCGCAAGACCUCGCGCGAUUGGAGCGGCCGAUAUCAGAUUAGGUAGUUGGUGGGGUAAAGGCCUACCAAGCCGACGAUCUGUAGCUGGUCUGAGAGGACGACCAGCCACACUGGGACUGAGACACGGCCCAGACUCCUACGGGAGGCAGCAGUGGGGAAUUUUGGACAAUGGGCGCAAGCCUGAUCCAGCCAUGCCGCGUGCGGGAAGAAGGCCUUCGGGUUGUAAACCGCUUUUGUCAGGGAAGAAACGCUCUGGGUUAAUACCCUGGGGUAAUGACGGUACCUAAGGAAUAAGCACCGGCUAACUACGUG
rnacentral:rRNA from 1 species